rnacentral:lncRNA from 1 species
GCCGCAUUUGUUGCUUUCCCCAACAUCCUUCCUUUUGUCUAUAUUAUUAUGAUAUUCUCCUGGAAAGAGCUCUUUUUGAAUAAAAGGGAUCAACGAACCCAUUACCUUACCUUUAAGAUAGAUCAGUAAAUAUGGGCAUAAUUAUGGGUGAUUAUUCAGACUAGUGCACACAUUUUACAGUUCAAACAAGGCAAUGCCGAUCGUGGCAUCCCC